rnacentral:miRNA from 1 species
AAAUGCCUCAAUGAGAUCCAGCUGUAAGGCAUUUUCUUAAUUAGUGACCAAUUGGGGGAGGGCCCAGCCUAUUGUGGGUGGGGUCAUCCCUGGGCUGGUGGUUCUG